GAUACAUCCCGUCCGCCGUCUAACACAUGCAAGUCGAGCGGUACAGGUCCAGCUUGCUGGAUGCUGACGAGCGGCGGACGGGUGAGUAACGCAUAGGAAUCUACCCGGUAGUGGGGGAUAACCUGGGGAAACCCAGGCUAAUACCGCAUACGUCCUACGGGAGAAAGGGGGCUUCGGCUCCCGCUAUUGGAUGAGCCUAUGCCGGAUUAGCUGGUUGGUGAGGUAAUGGCUCACCAAGGCGACGAUCCGUAGCUGGUCUGAGAGGAUGAUCAGCCACAUCGGGACUGAGACACGGCCCGAACUCCUACGGGAGGCAGCAGUGGGGAAUAUUGGACAAUGGGGGCAACCCUGAUCCAGCCAUGCCGCGUGUGUGAAGAAGGCCCUCGGGUUGUAAAGCACUUUCAGCGAGGAAGAACGCCUGUCGGUUAAUACCCGGCAGGAAAGACAUCACUCGCAGAAGAAGCACCGGCUAACUCCGUGCCAGCAGCCGCGGUAAUACGGAGGGUGCAAGCGUUAAUCGGAAUUACUGGGCGUAAAGCGCGCGUAGGUGGCUUGAUAAGCCGGUUGUGAAAGCCCCGGGCUCAACCUGGGAACGGCAUCCGGAACUAUUAGGCUAGAGUGCAGGAGAGGAAGGUAGAAUUCCCGGUGUAGCGGUGAAAUGCGUAGAGAUCGGGAGGAAUACCAGUGGCGAAGGCGGCCUUCUGGACUGACACUGACACUGAGGUGCGAAAGCGUGGGUAGCAAACAGGAUUAGAUACCCUGGUAGUCA
rnacentral:rRNA from 1 species